rnacentral:rRNA from 1 species
CAGCCGCCGCGGUAAUACGGAGGGUGCAAGCGUUAAUCGGAAUUACUGGGCGUAAAGCGCACGCAGGCGGUCUGACAAGUCAGAUGUGAAAUCCCCGGGCUUAACCUGGGAACUGCAUUUGAAACUGUCAGGCUGGAGUCUUGUAGAGGGGGGUGGAAUUCCAGGUGUAGCGGUGAAAUGCGUAGAGAUCUGGAGGAAUACCGGUGGCGAAGGCGGCCCCCUGGACAAAGACUGACGCUCAGGUGCGAAAGCGUGGGGAGCAAACAGGAUUAGAUACCCUGGUAGUCCCUGUCUCUUAUAC